GAGUUUCAUUCCAUAUAUUCCGACUUUCAUUCCAUAUAUUCAGAUUUUCAUUCCAUAUAUUCAGAUUUUCAUUCCAUAUAUUCAGAUUUUCAUUCCAUAUAUUCAGAGUUUCAUUCAAUAUAUUCAGAGUUUCAUUCCAUAUAUUCAGAGUUUCAUUCAAUAUAUUCGGAUUUUCAUUCAAUAUAUUCGGAUUUUCAUUCCAUAUAUUCCGAGUUUCAUUCAAUAUAUUCAGAGUUUCAUUCAAUAUAUUCGGAUUUUCAUUCCAUAUAUUCAGACUUUCAUUCCAUAUAUUCAGAGUUUCAUUCAAUAUAUUCAGAGUUUCAUUCAAUAUAUUCAGAGUUUCAUUCAAUAUAUUCCGAGUUUUUUUCCUACCGAGCCCCGGAAGGGACAUGUCGGUAUGGCGAAACGACAAUGGAGGACACCCACCCGUACGAGAGUUUUAUUGAGUUUUAUUUUGUAAUCAGCCUAAAAUACAAAGACAUUCAAGCAGUGCGAUGCAUGAGGAGUCUGCCAUGCAGACCAGCGAUCCUGAUCCUGUUGUCGGCCUUGGAUGAUGAGGUCCAGUUACCAGGACUGUUACUCUGCAGCUCACUGAUCCCAUCCUGCAGCUCAUCCAUGCCAUCCUCCUCUCAACAGACCAAAUCAAGAAAAACUAAGCAGGAUGCUACUGUGGAUCUGCUCUUCAGAUUAGCUCUGCUGUGAUUAACAAUUUGCCUUCAUCGCAGUCACAGCCAACGGGGAAG